UAGUCGCAAUGCACGAGCAUG
rnacentral:misc_RNA from 1 species